UACGUAGGGGGCAAGCGUUGUCCGGAAUCAUUGGGCGUAAAGCGCGUGUAGGCGGCCUUGUAAGUCCGUUCUGAAAGUCCGGGGCUCAACCCCGGGAGGCGGAUGGAUACUGCAAGGCUCGAGUCCGGAAGAGGCAAGUGGAAUUCCCGGUGUAGCGGUGAAAUGCGCAGAUAUCGGGAGGAACACCAAUAGCGAAGGCAGCUCGCUGGGACGGUAUUGACGCUAAGGCGCGAAAGCGUGGGGAGCAAACAGG
rnacentral:rRNA from 1 species